UACGGAGGGAGCAAGCGUUAUCCGGAAUCACUGGGUUUAAAGGGUGCGUAGGCGGCUAUAUAAGUCAGAAGUGAAAGAUUUGCGCUUAACGGAGAAAUUGCUUUUGAUACUGUAAAGCUUGAAACUGGUUGAGGUCGGCGGAAUGUGGCAUGUAGCGGUGAAAUGCAUAGAUAUGUCAUAGAACACCGAUUGCGAAGGCAGCCGGCUGCGCUGAGUUUGACGCUGAGGCACGAAAGCGUGGGUAGCGAACAGG
rnacentral:rRNA from 1 species